UGCCUUCAUACCAACGGAAGAUCCGUGCAUACAAUAUGAGAGAAUCCAUCCGUUCUGGAAGAUCCAGGCUGCUUUGAGAAGUGCCAGUGAUGGGAACGGUUUUACAGGAGAGUACUGUGCCUAACAAGCUUCGUUCGUUUGAUAGAACAAAAACUAAAGUUUUGGGACAUGCACAAAAGCAAGAAAAGCACAAAAGCACCUUUGCAUCCACCACCGAAUAAUGGCAUCAGUCAGUCAUCUGAACCUGAUUCUCAGCAAAGGUUAAGAAGGACAAGUCUGGACGAAAUGUUGAUCAUGGCAAACCCUUCAGGCAGUAUCUUAAGAAAACAACUCAAGUAAGUAUUUCAGGCAACACAACACUAAAAUCAAAUCUUAUGCCACUUCCAAAAAUGGACAGAAGGAGAGACGACAAAGAGAAAAUAGCCAUGAUGCAAAAGAGACCGGAGGCAGGGGUAAAAGUUCAAGUGCAAGACCUGCAACCCCUCAUUCCCUACAAGAUCAGGGAGAAGACUCGUCAGAGUGCAGAAGUGAAGCCGAGGGCUGUGCACUACAAAAUAAAGAUGAAGACAAGGACAGUGCUAGUGACCUCUCAGACUCUGAAAGAUACUCUGUGCUUCCUGCUCAAAUUUAUCCUCCUGACCUCAAUCUACGUGCAGAGGUCAUAGAUCCGUCUGACUUUCAUGCCUCAAGACCUUCUUGUCGAGUGCACAGCAGCUAUCCAGAUUUCUUACCACCUCCUUUCAAUUCCUGGAGUCUCCAGCAGUUAGCUGUGUCCUUGAACAGUGAAGGCAAGGGCAUUCCUUGUCCCAAGCCCAGUGGGCAGCUUGAGAGAUACUUGGACUGGUUAUUGCAAUUGGAAUGGCAUCAGAUCCAAACCGUCCAAGAAGAUGGCAGAAAAUCCAACACCCCAUUUCUUAAAGGUUGCCACUUGCCUCAUUCGUCUUCUCAUCUCAGCCUCAGCUCUCCUAAAUGCAUCCUCCAGUGCCAGCGUGUGUUCUCUUUGACACCACUCUCCUGUUUGGCCAGAGCUCCCACCCUUCAGCUGUCAAGCUGUACCUGCCCACACUGCCAGAAUCAGUAUCCCAUCUUGAACGUCCCAUGCCGCUCUUAUGCCUACCACCACCACACACGGCCGAGUCCACUCCUGGAGAAGAAGGGCCAGGCCUCAGGUUUUCCUAAAAGGAGCAGCAGUGAGAGCAGGGUUCAUCAGCCGGAUCCCAGACACCAAUCUCGAGAGCACAGACUCAGCGACCCGAGGCGCAUGCAGGCUAUCGGUAACAUUCGCAAUCUGCUUCGUUACACAUACAGUGUUGACCAAGCUUCUUCUACAGCCACAACAGCCAGCAAUGCCAGUACUGGGGAUGUAAAAAAGAGAAAGCCUGGACAAAGGAGUCAUUCCUGUGUGGGUACGAGGGACAACAAAGGGAGACCUUUGAUAACACACGAAGGGACUCAAAAUUAUCUUGUAUCAAGCGUGUUGAAUUUGUAGGGCUGUCAACUUUAGUCGUUUAGUUGACUUAUCGGUCGAUGCCGUCUUGGUCGACUGACAUUCUCAUUGGUCGACCAGUUGCAUAAUUGUUUUUUUUUUCACCAAUAAAUAAAUUUUCAUUGAUUUACUCCUUGAUAUUUAUUCCUUUAUUGGCAGUUAUAUAUUACAGUAUUCUAAAUAUAAUUAGCCUAUGUUUUAUCCCAAACUAUAAAUGCUUUCAUUUAGGCUAUUUUAUAACAGCGCCACAGUUUAGCGCACCACGUGAACACUCUGGAACAGCAUCUGUGGCUGGCUGCACUGCUGCUUCGCGCUCAGUAAGGAAUAUAGGUAGAUUUGCUGUAUUCAUCAGUUAGAACGGUACUUUUUUGGCUUUAGUCGACAAAAUAUCCAAGAAAUCUUUAAGAACAUGUUUAAAAUCGUUGAGCCAAGAUAUACUGUGCCAGCACGGGAUGCGUGCGCUACGUUCGCGGUUUGAUAGACUUAAAGUAAAUGUAAACCAGUUAACGUUUCUCCAAUCCUCGGAGGCUGUAGGCCUCACAACUGAUUUGUGGUCUUCGCUUAGAAUGGAGGCAGACAUGAUAGUUACGGCCCGUUUUAUCGAUGUGGACUGGAAAAUGAAUAGCGUUAUGUUAGAAACAAAGCAGAUGGAUGAAGCGCACACGAGAGAAAAUAUCGCUGCGCGACUCAAUCAAGUCGCGAACGCUUACCACAUUCCACCAGAGAAGUGGGUGUCAGUGGUAACGGAAAAUGCUGCCAACGUGCUCUCGGUGGAAUUACUGAAGGGAAUCAAGGGAUCCGGUCAGUGGCCAGACGUGGAGUUGGUUAGAUGUGCAGGCAACACCCUGCACCUGUGCGUAAAUGCUGCCUUUUAAUUUUUUUAGCGUGUGGUGUGGUCAGGUGCACGGUCUCUAUAGACCUAGGACAGCGCUCCUCACUUUGCAGUAAAAAACAAAAUCACUUAAUUUUCAAAGAAUUGUAUUAUUAUUAUAGUUUUUUGUAUUAUUGAGUUUUUUCAUUGUUGUUUUACAAAUGCUCAUAAUUGUUUAAUAAAUGUUCAAUCAAAAUUCAAAACAUCGCGUUUUUUUUUUUUUAGUCGACUGAUAGUUGCGCAGGACAGGACUUUGGUCGACUAAGCAUUUCUUUGGUUGACUACAGCCCUAUGAAUUUGUCACAAAGUAACUUCAUCACAGUGGCCUGGAAAUCAGUUCAAAUGUAUCAAUUUCAUUGCAUUAGAUUAAUUUUAAUCCAAGAGGCAUAUUUUCUGAGAACAACUGAUCCAAGCAUUAUUUCAGUGAAUGUAUGAAGUCAGUUCACCACAUUAAUUAUAAACGUGAUGUUAACAUUUCGCAAACAGAAUGUUAUACUGUACUUUAUAAAACUUCAUUUUUCAGCAUAUCUGUUGGCCGAUCAUUUAAAACCAAACAAACUAUUGAUUUGAGUAUGUUUUAUAAUGUAAAUGUCACUUGGUGUAUUAAUUUAAGGAUUUUUCAUCUAAUGUGGUGACAUUCUGUUCAGUGUGGUGUAAAAGUAAGUGUCCAAACAGUUUUUGGAUCACUGUAUGUACAUAUUCUUCUUAAGUUCAUUUUUGCCUGUUUACACCUGCAUUAAUUUAAGACUUACGUUUAAGUUGUCUUUUGCUAUGACUCCAUGCACAAUAUACCUUCAUGUUUAUUUUUAUUUCAAUCUUAUUUUGAGCAAUCGUUUAAACAACUUGCUCUUUUAUAAGCCCAUUUUUUUUAAAAUAGCAAUAUAGCUGCAUUAAUUUCUUUGAAGCAUCUUCUAUCAACAGAUCUGACUGUGAUUUUAUUAAUUCAGUUCCCUUUAAGGAUCUUUAAUCUAAUGUUAAGUUUAGUUUAAAAUAGACAAUUGUUAUUUCUGCAAUACUUGUUCGUUUCUAGGCAGUGCUUACACAGAUGUUUCAGGUACAGUGAUAUGCUCGAGCUGGGACCUCAUGUGUCUGCACACCAUUACCCUCGAGCUGACUGUCCCACUGAGCACAAGCAGUCGCCUUACGUUGUAUAACUUAUUAUUUUUCUCAUUCUAUGCCUGAUUCAUAAGGUGAAUAUGAAGGCCAUAAAUAAAAUAUGUUUUUAGAGCUCUUUACAAUCCUCUUGACAAGGGAAGAGUUCCUAGGACAUGUUUAUAAUAGCCAUAUCCAAACUAAAUCCAGAUGUUUGAAGGACAGAUUCAUUUACAGACACUUGCUGCUGAGUCUGAG